rnacentral:rRNA from 1 species
UGGGGAAUAUUGGACAAUGGGCGCAAGCCUGAUCCAGCAAUGCCGCGUGUGUGAAGAAGGCCUGCGGGUUGUAAAGCACUUUGAGUGGGGAAGAAGGCCUGGGAGUGAAUAGCUUCUGGGAUUGACGUUACCCACAGAACAAGCACCGGCUAACUCCGUGCCAGCAGCCGCGGUAAUACGGAGGGUGCGAGCGUUAAUCGGAAUUACUGGGCGUAAAGCGCGCGUAGGUGGUUAGAUCAGUCUGAUGUGAAAGCCCCGGGCUUAACCUGGGAAUGGCAUUGGAUACUGUUUAACUGGAGUGUGGUAGAGGGUAGUGGAAUUUCCGGUGUAGCAGUGAAAUGCGUAGAGAUCGGAAGGAACACCAGUGGCGAAGGCGGCUACCUGGACCAACACUGACGCUGAGGUGCGAAAGCGUGGGGAGCAAACAGG